ensembl:lncRNA novel transcript, antisense to PHF12
UAAAGAAAGAUUAGGCAACUUGGGGUACAAAUGCGUUCAAAAUCCUCUCCGUCAGUAUGCCAAGUCUCUGGAUACCAGUGACUUAUUUGCCCUGGGGUGAGAGAAAACUCCAUUUUCCAUCAAGCUGGAGAAGCAGCCUUUGUUUUUCAGCCAUGGAUAAGGCCACUUAUUAGGAGGACAACAAGAAGUGAAAUCUCAGGAGGAUGCUUACCAGGAAUCAGGAAACUGGAAAAACAAUGGCCUGCUGGGACAGAUCUCCAAGCCCUAGAGGACCACAGGUGAAUGUCACCUGUAAGUCUCCGCUCAUUCUAGCCAAUGUAAUUCUACAAAAGGCCACAUCUAAACUACUGAAAUGCAUGCAAGUAAUUUUCAAAGGCCUACAGACUCUGCUAUGCUUCAGUAGCUGUCCUAUCAAAAUUAACCCUGAAGGGUGUCA